CUACGGGACGCUCCAGUGGGGAAUUUUGCGCAAUGGGGGAAACCCUGACGCAGCAAUACCGCGUGAGUGAAGAAGGCCUUUGGGUCGUAAAGCUCUUUUCUUGGGGAAGAUAGUGACGGUACCCAAGGAAUAAGCACCGGCUAACUCCGUGCCAGCAGCCGCGGUAAUACGGAGGGUGCAAGCGUUGUUCGGAUUUACUGGGCGUAAAGGGCACGUAGGCGGCACAGCAAGUUAAGGGUGAAAUCCCGGGGCUCAACUCCGGAACUGCUCUUAAAACUGCUGAGCUAGAGAUAGUCAGAGGCGGGUGGAAUUCCAGGUGUAGAGGUGAAAUUCGUAGAUAUCUGGAGGAACACCGGUGGCGAAGGCGGCCCGCUGGGGCUAUUCUGACGCUAAGGUGCGAAAGCGUGGGGAGCAAACGGGAUUAGAUACCCGGGUAGUC
rnacentral:rRNA from 1 species